rnacentral:rRNA from 1 species
UACAGAGGGGGCAAGCGUUGUUCGGAAUUACUGGGCGUAAAGGGCGCGUAGGCGGCCGCCUAAGUCAGACGUGAAAUCCCUCGGCUCAACCGGGGAACUGCGUCUGAUACUGGGUGGCUUGAAUCCGGGAGAGGGAUGCGGAAUUCCAGGUGUAGCGGUGAAAUGCGUAGAGACCGGGAAGAACACCAGUGGCGAAGGCGGCUACCUGGACAGGUACUGACGCUGAAGCGCGAAAGCUAGGGGAGCAAACAGG